AUGGCGGGGCACUCGACCAUUGAUGAUGAGUUGUUGUGUGAUGCGUGGUUAGCCGUAUCCGUGGAUUUCGUAGGCAGGAGCAGAGGGAGGACUUUCUGGCAGCAAGUGCACGAAUCAUUUCACGAACAAAAGCACAUUGCGCCCUACGACAUGCACAUCAUCCAUGAUCGUAAUGUGAGGUCGUUAUCAUAUCGAUGGUACACCAUCCGGCCCAUGAUCACCAAGUUUUGUCACAUAGUUGCUCAGCUGGAGGCAAGGUGGCCAUUGCACGCGGCAAAGGAGGAGAUCGCAAGCUUGACUUCUUCUUCCUCCUCUACUUGUUGA
rnacentral:rRNA from 1 species